UGUAAUUUUGAUAUCAUGGAUGGCCAGCUCUGUCUGAAUUUGAGAGUGGUUAUAUUUCUCCAGGCCCAUCCCUUAGUUUUUUACCAAAAGAGAGGUGGGGUGUCCGCUUUGUUAUUGUUUCAAUUAAGGAUUCUAGCUUUAAAAGGUCUCGGUAUAAUGUUUUCUCCAAUACAUUCUGAGAACAUUAAAAGGGAUUCAAUUUAUACUGUACCUUCCAGCUUUUUUGCUUUGAUAACAGGUUUUGCUCUUUAAAGUUGUUCUCACCUGACUGUCUCCAUGUUGAUUAUGUUGUUAAGGCUGAUGCAGACGGGUUUUACGUGGGCGAUGAUUAUGGAUAUUUCCACUGGAAUGAAGAACAUGGCCAUUGGGAGAGGUGGACCCUAAACAACAACGAGUACAACUAUGAGUAUGCGUACAAGUAUGACCAGGAUCAACCUGGUCAAGGGGCCAAAUGGGAAAUAGAGGCUGGUUCUUCUCAGAUUGUCGAUGCUCCUGCCCAUCUCCCCCUCCCUACUUCCUCUGAUCUCCCUCAGCAGAGCCCACAGGAGCAGCCUGGAUUCCUCGCAGCAUCCCCUUGGCCUCUUGCAAACGUUGGGACUCUUGAGGAGAUGAUUGAGAUUGCAUGGCAGAAGUGUCAGGAGUACCAAUCUAAGUUCUUCAUGUGGUAUUGUGUUACCCUGUUGUGCACACAGAGUAGGGCACAGGUACGUUUAUUCGUUGGAUGAGACAGCAGAGUUAGAAUGAAUGAUGAGGGAGGGGAUGAUUAUUAUGGUUUGCAUAUUCAUAAGUAAGCAAACAGAUAUGUUUUAGGCCAUGCGUCUAUUACAUUGUAAUUGAUUAUAUGUUGUUUCUGGACUAAACUUCUCUUUCUAUACCACUAUCUAUAGCCCAUCUCUCCACCAGUGAAGCCCAUCGUGGCUGAGCUAACCAUCUCUCCACCAGUGAAGCCCAUCGUGGCUGAG